CGGUGGAGAAGCGGACGCGUCGUCGAUCCGGUCGACGAGGGUCGCUGAAGUGGACUGGCUAGGUGGAGUGGACUGGCGGAAAGGCGGCACGGUCGAAGGCAGCACACGCAGGUUCGCUACUUUCGUUUGGACGAGUUUCCAAUGCCGUUAAUACGUUCGAACGACACGAGAGAUAUCGAGGCGAGGUGUUUUCUUCUCUCGAGACGAAUAGUUGAACCUGACGUUUCAUUUCAAGCGUCACGUUUAUAGCGUUUCAAAAGUCGAUCCUCUUGUCGCUCAAACAUCCACAGUCACAACAAUCCGGCGGGUGGUUGCCGAUGGACGGACAGCUGUCCAUCCGGACAAGAGGGAUGCCAUGCCAAAGAGGUAGGCAUAUUGGCAGGCGGACGGGAGAGGAAAAAAGGAGGGAGGGGAGGGGAGCCGGUCGACCGAAGGUUUGUGUCAGAUGCGGUCGCGAUAUCGGCGGCCCCCGCCGUCCCCCCGCCUCGAAGCCCCGUGUACCUGUCAUUUUCGGUGACCGUGUCAUUCAGAGACUGUAUUCCCUUCCACGAGGGAUUCCUCGUGCGGAGGAACGAAGAGAGAUAGCCGAGGCGAAGCUAGGAGAUAAGGAUAGCCUGGGAUACCUGACGAGAGGCCAUCGAUGCGAGCGACGAGCCAAUAACGAUGCGUCGUAUUCUCUGCCGCUGGAAAUGUAAAAGUUUUUACGUUGAACGGAUGAGAAAAAUCGAUUCGUCGAUUCUCUCUUACGUUUGAUUUUUAGGAGGAAGGAAAAGGAUGGUUUUGGGAGCGAGAGAGAGAGAGAGAGAAAAUUGAAGAGGAAGAUACGUAUCCCCAUCGAGGAGAUGUUAAUUAAUGCGCGCCAGAAGAAAGCAGUCCUCCGAGAUAGAUAAUGAUCCGGUUUUCGAGCUAUGGGCCCGUGAUGAUGAUGAGGAUGAUGAGGAUGACGACGAUUCGGAAAGUCAUCGUCGCGUCCGUCGCGCCCUUCUUUACCUACAGAGUUCGUCGAAUCUUAUCAAAUUUCGACGAGCCAGUUUGUUGUGAAACCGAUACGCGAUCCGUAUGAAAUUUUUAAUGCGUGGAAAAUUGUCGAAAGUGUCAGCGAUCAAAAAUUAUUGUUAUUCGAGAAGAUGUUUCAUUGUUUCUAUCGUUAUCGAAAGUGAGUAGUUAAAAAUUAAUGCUUUUUUUUAGAUUCAGUAUUCGACAAGUUUUGUUAUCUCAUAUUUGGUUUCAAAUGCUUUCCUUUUUUUAGAUUAUUGUUAUUUCAUAUUUGUGAUUAAAAAUAAGUGCUUUCUUUUUUAAA
rnacentral:lncRNA from 1 species